rnacentral:misc_RNA from 1 species
GAUGAAGAACGUAGCGAAAUGCGAUACGUAAUGUGAAUUGCAGAAUUCAGUGAAUCAUCGAGUCUUUGAACGCACAUUGCGCCCCUUGGUAUUCCGGGGGGCAUGCCUGUUCGAGCGUCAUUUCAACCCUCAAGCUCUGCUUGGUAUUGGGCUCCGUCCUCCUCGGACGCGCCUCAAAGACCUCGGCGGUGGCGUCUUGCCUCAAGCGUAGUAGAAACACCUCGCUUUGGAGUGCAUGGCGUCGCCCGCCGGACGAAACCUUUUGUAUUUUCUCAAGGUUGACCUCGGAUCAGGUAGGGAUACCCGCUGAACUUAAGCAUAUCAAUAAGCGGAGGA